GGGAAACUUAAUUUUCUUUUCUUUUUAUUCGUCUUUGUUUAAAAUUUAUGAUGCAGUAUAUUGAUGUAUAAUUAUGUUUCUGUGUCAAUUUGUUUGAUAUAGAUCCGACCAUUGUGGAGGCAUUACUUUCAGAACACUCAAGGGUUGAUAUUCGUGGUUGAUAGUAAUGAUCGUGAUCGUGUUGUUGAAGCUAGGGAUGAACUUCAUAGGAUGUUGAAUGAGGUAAUAUUGAACCCAUGUCCUGAUAGAUGGUUUGUGGUUCAAACAAUAAAUUUAAAAUCUCUCCGGGUUUUUUUCGACAACUGUUUAUAUUGUACUCUGUAGGAUGAACUUCGGGAUGCAGUGCUUCUUGUAUUUGCAAACAAACAAGAUCUUCCAAAUGCUAUGAAUGCUGCUGAGAUUACUGACAAGCUUGGACUUCACUCUCUCCGUCAGCGCCAUUGGUACUCUCUCUCUCUCUCUCUCUCUCUCUCUCUCUCUCUCUCUCUCUCUCUCUCUCUCUCUCUCUCUCUCUCUCUCUCUCUCUCUAUAUAUAUAUAUAUAUAUAUAUAUAUAUAUAUAUAUAUAUAUAUAUAUAUAUAUAUAUAUAUAUAUAUAUAUAUAUAUAGAGAGAGAGAGAGAGAGAGAGAGAGAGAGAGAGAGAGAGAGAGAGAGAGAGAGAGAGAGAGAGAGAGAGAGAGAGAGAGAGAGAGAGAGAGAGAUAUAUAUAUAUAUAUAUAUAUAUAUAUAUAUAUAUUAGAUUUAUUUCGUGCUAUUAAGAUGUUAUGAAUUUGUAAGAUGUUUUAAAUAAGUUUAGCCAGGCAGGCUCCUGAGAAAAAAAUGAUAUAUUUAAUUCCAUACUGAAAUCAUGAGGAAAGUAAAACUAGCAUACAAGUAAAUACAAGAAUAUGGGAUCUAUUAUACAACAAACUAUGAUAGUUACUAUUUUGAUUUGAGUAUCAAUGUUCAUCUGAGGACUCUAUUAGAGCUCAAGACGAAAUUUUCUUGACCAGCAACGGUUGAAUUAAGCCUACCGGCAGCCCACCCGUUAUUUAUGACACGAGUGCCCUCUGCUCGUUUUUCGUAUUCCGGUAGACCUUUAGCUUUCCUAUCCUUCCUUCUUUCUCUCUCCUCUUCUCUCUCUUUCCUUAACCAUCUCUCUACGGUUCUCUGCCAAAAAUGCAUGCAACUAUAUACGAUAAACAUCUAUACACGAAACCUCUCUCAAUUAUCGAGCAAUAUAAAAUUACAGUAAUACAGUAGAACCUCGAUAAAUUAAUAACCUCGCUUAAAUAAUAAUUUCUUACGAUCCCGACUCGGUAAAACGUACUAAAUUAUUACUUCAAUAAUUUAAUAUUUCGCUAAAUUAAUAGAAUUUUGUCAGUCCCGACUGAACUAAUUUAUAGAGGUUUAACUGUAUAUAUGAAAUAACAUGAAAUCACGAGUUUCGAAGAGGUUCUCGUUGGAACUCUUGAAGCAUUUCAAACUUUUGAAUAAUCCACGUUGUUGAUUGUACGUUUUUUACGAGUAAGUGCUUGAAGCAUAUACUUCAACGAAAAUAAUUACUUAAAUCUCCAAAACUAUCACAUGCUUGUAAUUUGUUUCGAUUUGAUUGCCCAAGAAAAUAUUAUAUUUUUUCGUUUUUUAUUUAACACGGAUGAUAUUAUGUAAUAACGGCAAAUCUAGUUUCGAUCUUUAUACGUAACUUUUAUUGUUGGAUAGAGAAACUAACCAUCAACGACAAAUUGCUAAUCUCCUUAAUCUUACUCAUAGGCAUCACAAAUUGCAAUUUCCCAUGUGCCACAUAAACCUGAAAAAGAAAAAAAAAAAGACACGUUUAAGACGACAAAAACAUUUGUAGAAGACCAUUUCAUGAUAACGAAUACGAUUGAAUCAAAAUAACUUACGACAUGCGACGGCCAAUCUUCAAGACCAUCGAAAAUAUGCGUAGCGUAAAUGAUUGUAGCACCUCGUUCUUCACAUUCCUUCUUUAGAAACUUUAGAAGGUCAGCUCUCGCAAGCACGUCUAAGUCGACUGUGAUCUCGUCGAGCAAGAGAACCUGACAUCGGCAAACAUAGUAUAUAAUCAACUCUUAUUAAUCAACCUCGAUUCUUGUCAAAAUUAUAUAUACAAUUCUUGUCAAAAUUAAAAUUAUAUAUACAGUUAAACCUCUAUAAACUAAUACACUCGGGACUAGGGAAAUUCUAUUAAUUUAGUGAAUUAUUAAAUUAUCGAGUUAAUAAUUUAACACGUUUUCACCGAGUCAGGACCGAGAGAAACUAUUAUUUAAUCGCGGUUAUUAAUUUAUCGAGGUUCUACUGUAUAACUUUAUGUAUAUAUAAUACAUAUAUAUACCUUGAAUGGCUUUAGAAGACCCAUACAUAUUUGAACUCUUCGUCUUUGACCGUCUGAUACUUUAUGCAUUCUCCACGAAAGGUCGACGUCUAAGACCUACGGCAAGAGAAUUCAUCCACGUCGUUUUUCUUACAUAUAUAGAUACAACAUAGUCUACAUUUUGAAAAAAAAUAUGAUUUUUUUUUAAUAAUUAAAAUACCUUUAUUAGUUCAUCUCUCCUUUGGGGAGUGACACCCGCUACACCGAAAAUCAUUUUCUCGGCGGACACGUCCAUUUGAAUCGGAACCUCAAAACCAGCAAACGCAACUUCCCUUCUCCACUGGAAAUUAAGUAAAAAGUUUAGACAAAUCAAAUUUCAAAAAAUCAUUCAGAAACGAUUAGCAAUUGUCGUGUUUUAGUGACAAUCUAUUCUCGUAAACACCGGGGCAACAUCAUUUUUUUCUUUUUUAAUACAGAGUUUCGAUGCUAAUUGUCAUACUUCAAAUUCGAAUCCAUCCUCAAAAUCGAACAUAUUUUCACCAUAGAACAUAUAUAUAUAUAUAUAUAUAUAUAUAUAUAUAUAUAUAUAUAUAUAUAUAUAUAUAUAUAUACAUGUAACAAGUGUAUGCAAUUAAGAUUUCGAUUUGACAAAUUAAUUUUGAAAACACAACUCAGAAGAACAUGCUUAAUAACCUAAGGGUGCAUUUGGAUGGAGGGAUUUGGGGGAGGGAUUUCAAAUCCAUAAUAACAAAUCCCUCGGACUUGUUUGGAUUGAUGGAUUUCAAAUCCCACCCCUCAUUUUUAGUUAUGUUUUGAGCAAUUGAGGUGGAUUUCAAAUGACUCCAAAACUGGAGUCAUUUCAAAUCCAUUCCCCAAAUCAAAUCCCUCCCCAAAUCCCUCCAUCCAAAUGGACCCUAAGGGAAUAAAAAAGAAAGUAAGAAAUAAAAAAUUGAGAAAACCUCGCCGCCGAGAUAAGAGAGAUCGCCGGAGGAAGUCAAAGCGGUGUCGUGAAAUGCGGAUCUUCCAAACACCUUCACCAUAUUUUGAUCCACCAUAUGCUUUCCUCCUAUAAUUUUCAAGAUUGUUGUUUUCCCUGCAAUCAAUAAACCCAUUUCAGAGAGAGAGGGAGGGAGGGAGAGAGAGAGAGAGAGAGAGAGAGAGAGAGAGAGAGAGAGAGAGAGAGAGAGAGAGAGAGAGAGAGAGAGAGAGAGAGAGAGAGAGAACCGGCGCCGUUGGAGCCCACAAGAAGGCAGCGGUAGCCUGGAAAGAGAGUGAGGGAGAAGUCAUCUAUCAUGGGUGUGGAUCCCGGCGGAGGAUGGCCGUCGAUUCCGGGAUAGGUGAAACUUAACUCUGUUAUCUCCACCGUCGGCUGAGAUUUCUCCAACUCCUCCUCCAUCGCCGCCCGCCAAGAUUAAAUUUUGACACCACCCACCACCACCACCGCCCAAACUAAAGGUCGUUUUGCACUUCGGCCCCCUAAACAAUUAGUUUUGUACUUUUUUCACCUGAUCUGGUAAUUCGAUUGCACGAUGACUAUAAGUUAGGGUAAAAUUCAAAAUCAUCCCUGAGGUUUGCUCUCAACUUCAAAUUCAUCCCUGAGGUUCUAUUCAGCGUCAAUUUCAUCCUUUGCACCCUCAUUUAACCACCAAAUUUGAAGGAAAAACAAGAAAUACCAAGACUGCCCCCAACAAAUAGUGAACUUUGGUGGAAAAAUAUAAUUGUUUGAAAAACUAGUUGCUGGAAAAAAUAGUUGGAGCAAAUUUUAGUUUUUAUAAAUGUGAACACAAACAUAAAAUAUUAUGCACUCACCCAAAUACGGAAUCAUGAAUUAUUUAUUUCGGGCUGAGAUUUAAAAUGAUGAACUAAAUAUUUAUGGGGUUUGGGGCAGUCUUUUUUAAAGAUUGCCACACAAAAUACCAUAAAUAAUAAAUAUUUAUUAACACUAAUCAAAAUAGUAUAUGAAACAUAAAUAUUAAAAAAUGAUUAUUGAAACUCCUUUAGUUAUGUUAUUGAUUAUGCAAUUUAUGUGAACUAUGUAAGAUGAACUGGUUGAAUGUGUAUAAUUUGAAGAUGAACCAGAUUUUUUUUUAAAUAGAAAGAGGCCUCGUUAAAACCUUGUUUUACCAUUUAUUUUAAUAGUAGAAUGAUAAAGUGUAGUGAUCAAAUUUAUAUAAUGAAAAAAAAAAUAUUUAAUUUCAAUAAGAGUUCAUGUUAAAAAAUUCAAAUCAUAAAUAAUCUUUGAAGAGAAAAAUAAUAAAUAUUUUUUUUCUUUUGAGAAGAUGGAGCCAAAUAGUUAGUUUAAGGGAUAAAGGGCAGUUUGGGGAUUUCUGAAAAUUUCCUUCACAUUUGGCGGCUAAAAAGAUUUGGAGGAUGAAAUUGAAGUUCCAUAGAACCCCAGGGAUGAAUUUGAAGUUGAGUGCAAACCUCAGGGAUGAUUUUGAAUUCACCCGAAAGAUGUAGGUCCAGUUUGACAUGGGUAAAUUCGUCAUUUGGUUAGUACAUAGGGUUAAAUACAUUUUGCACAUGCAUUCAACUAUAUAUGUACACUGGGUAAACAUACAUUCUUGUAUAAUAGUUUGCGAACUAUACCAGAGAUGUAAACCACACUAGACUAACUAUGUGUAACAAAUUCGACCUAGCGACCGUUGGCAAAAUGAUUUGAACCUGGAUCAAUUGACACAUGUUUAUUUGCUCUAACUGCUAGAACAUCCAUUGCGGAUAACAUGCACCCUUAAAAUACAGUGGUCGUAACACUUUACUUCCUUCAAGUAUCAAAUAUAACACUUAUACACCUUCAUUAAUAAUAAAUCUUUAAACUUUAAUGACAUGGUGUUUUUCAUUCUCAUAAUCAUUAAAUAACUGAUAAAUAUGUAAGAAAAUCAUUUCUUCAACAUUUUUUAAAAUCAACUUUAUCAUUUCAAAAUUAUAAUUUUAGGAAGAAAAAGAAAAUCUGAAUUCUAGUUUAAUUUCAAACUUUGUUUUACUUUUCCUUCACUGUCAGUGUAAACAUUUCAAUGAUUUCAGUGUAAACAUUUGAACAUAUAAAAUCAUGUGCUAUGUAAAGAUGUUCAUUGCAGCCAUAAUAUAUAUUCUCAUUAAAAUUUAUUCCCUUCACUUGAGAAUCCUCUAGCAACAAACCUAACUUUAUAACCAACUUCUUAAUCUCAGGGACCUUAUAUUUUAUUCUUAAAAAGUCAUAUGCAACUCACGUACUUUUUUCCACUCAGUUUUUUAAUUCUUCUUCAAUAAAUCCAUCUUUUAAGAGCUCUAGGUUCCAACUUAUCUCCUUUAAUAUGUACAUAAUCUAAGCAACGAAAGGCUCUCAAAUUAUUGAAAUUAAGUGGCUUACCAUACCAUUUCUCAUAACGAGUUCUGAACUCAAUAGCUAUAGAAUGAACCGAGUUUGUUAGAUAUGUGGUUGUGUCAACCGCUUUAUCCUAAAACUUCUUUCGCAAACCAGCAACAAUUACCAUGCACCUAACCCUCUCAGGAAUUGUUAUGUUCAUUCUUUCGUUGACUCCAUUUUUCCGAGGAGUGUGUGAAAUUAUUUUGUGCCUCGUGAUACCCCUAGUUGUGCUGAAAGCAUUAACUCACCAUAAAUAAAUUCCAAGCCAUUGUUUGUUUUCAAAUGUUUCAAUUUGUUUCUUGAUUGGUUUUCAACUUCCACUAACCAAUCUUGAAUUUCUAAAUGCUUCAUCCUUAGAUUUCAGAAUAAAAGUCAAUAACCUCCUUGAGUAAUCAUCUAUGAUUUGGAGAAACUACGUACGACCUCCAAAAGUUUAAAGUUUAGUUGGUUCCCAUAAGUCAUUGUAAACAUAAUCCAAAUACUUUUGGCGUAGUGUCUCAUCUGGUAUUGAAACUAAUCAUGUUUGCCUUUCCGAUGAAGAACACAUUGCUCACAGAACUCCAACUUCUAUACUUUGUCAUAUCCAAGUAAUUUCUGUUUUGACGAUUCAUGAAGUCCUAUCUCAUUGAUAUAACUAUGUCUCAAGUGUCAGAUAUUAAUGUUAUCUUCCUCGUGGUUCUUAAUACUUGAGACAUUUUUAAUAUACAUGUAGAACCCGGACGUCGGUUUAACCCACAGUUCAAUCAAAUAUAGAUUUUAAAAAAUAAUCUACCAACGGUCAGAUUAAAAUAAGGGUCAUGAUUAGAGGAUCGAACUGGUGUUGCCGGCGAUUUGAUUUCAAAUUGGAUAGCCGAUCGAGAUUAUCUGACCGUUGAUAAUCAACCGUACAGGUUAAAUAUUCAUAUGAUUGUUGCUCCAACAAAGAUAUUUAUGAACCGGCGGUUAACCGACCGAACCGGCCAAAUUAUACUUUUGUUUAUCCCCAUUCAUUUGUCUUGACCAAUUCUCUUCUUGUCUCUUCUACUUCCUCUCAAGUUUUAAUUAACAAACAAAUAUACAUUCCCAAUAAUUAGUUCUCUUUAAUUUUAUUUAUACAUCUCUCCUUCAAUAUUAUUAUUGAACGGUAUAAUGCCACCACAAACUAAAAUUUGGGAAGAGGAGUUUUCUCAAUAGUCUAUAAUACGCAAUACUCAACAAUCAAGCCGGAAAAACGAAGAGGUGAAAUAUAAUUAUCAUAUCGCGUCAGUUCCGAUUUUCUAAAUACCGACGCCAGAACAUAAGGUAAGCAAGGUAAGUUAAAACUACCUGUAUUUGAUUCAUUUUGUUAAAAUAUGAUACGUAGGCAAUUUCAUUUGUACGUUUUAAAGUUUUACUUUAAACUUUAAAAUUCAAAAAGUGCAAGUCCUCCCAUUGUACUUUUUUUUUCUUUUUUUCUUAUUAAGUUUUUAUAAGUAUGACAUUUUUAAAAGCUUUACAAGUAUAAAUAUUUUUUAGGUAAAUUACAACAACCCCUUGAGGUAUGGUCAAAUUACGAAAAUCCCUCUUCUAUUUGGGUAAUUACAAUCACUCCCUCUAAUAUUAUACUUCUUACACGUCCGCCCUUGCGGUUUCAAAUUUAGUAGAAUCUUCCAGAUUAUAUGGAAUAUUAUCACUUGUGUACCCGUUUUGUCCCAUCCAAGCUUUACAUUUUGAAGCAAGAUGAUCAUAAUAUGUGUUUUUUGGCUUGUAUAUAUCAAAUUGUGGUGCAUCAGAAACUGUAUUUUUACACAAAACGAGUACAAACUAGAGCACAUUCCAUCAAUCCUAGAUGAUUAUGUUGAAUUUGACACCAUAAGGGUGGAGGUGUAAGUUAAAAUUAUAGUUGAGGCGGAUAGAUGUAAUUAUCCAAACAAAAAGGGUUUUUUUUUCGUAAAUUGGCCAUACCUCAGGGGUGGUCGUAAAACCGUUGUUUACAAAUAAAAAAAUUAAAAAAACAAGAAUCUGAAAAAUCGGUUAACCUAUAGUUCCUUUAAACAUGUUGUUUGCAACCAGUUAUGGUUCUAGUAUUUGAGGAACCGGAACCGGCCAUUCCGAACUAGAACCGGAACCGAACUAGAUUGUGGCUAUAUCAAGUUCAAGUUCUUAUCUCACGUCAAAUCUAAAUCAAACCUAAAAUUGCAGAAUAAUGGAAGUUUAAAAUAUAUUGAAACUCAAGUUUAUCUGGUACAAGAAAAUUCAUAAGAAUAACCAAAAUUAUUGAUCAUGAAGUGAAACAAGAUUGGGGAGAUUGAUGAUAUCAUAUAAUUGUUGCAAUUGUUUCUUUUUUUCUUCACAUUUUGGUAGUUAGGGUGUUGCAAGAAUAGAAAGAAAUGUAUGUUAAAGUGCUUAUAUAAUAAUAUCAAAUACUAAGAGUAAUUUCAAUUCAAAUAGAAUACACGAUAUUGUUCUAAAAUGUAAUGGAUUUUAUGAAGAUCAAUACUAUAGUUCCACCACAAUGAAAAGACAAGCUCAAAACUUGCAUCUCGAAUCAAGUUCUCCGUCGUGCCGCAUUCCUUUUCUUGUUACCAUUUGUCUUGUCUUGAGCAUUGAAAAACAAGCCAACAAACCAUUUUGGUCUUUGAUACCGGAAAAUGAAAUAACCGAUCAUAGUUCCAAAUACGAAUCCACAUCCAUACCCCAAAACAACAGCUUGCCAAGUAAAACCAUCCAUAAAAUCGGAAUCAUUAUCACCUUGUGGCAACACCGGAAACAAAGUUUGUACAUUGUCCUGUUUGCAGUUUUUUGUCAAUGGAAAUCCGCAUAAUCCCCAGUUUCCCAUAUAUGAAUUGUUUUCAAAUGUAGGGAACUGCCCGGUACUAGGCUGAGGUAUCUUUCCAACAAGAUUAUUAAACGAAAGGUUCAAUAUAGAAAGAAAUGUCAACCUUGUCAACUGCAAUGGAAUUUCCCCCGCCAAUUGGUUGGAAGACAAAUCCAAUGACUCAAGCAUGCUUAUAUUUCCAAGAGAUGCAGGUAUAUUUCCUGUGAUGUUAUUACGAGAUAAAUUCAAGUAUCUUAGGGAGUUAAGCUUUCCUAUGGACCGUGGAAUAGUUCCGGAAAAUCUAUUACUAGACAAGUCAAUGGUCGUAAACGCAUUCGAAAUUCUCACCACAGAAAGCACCACUCCUUUCAGAACAAACACCAUUGACUCUUCAGUAUAAUACGGUGUAAACCAGUUUCUUUUUUGUGUUCCAUUCACUUUGACAUUUAUCAUAGAUACGAAAUUCUCCAAGUAUCUCGCAGGCAAAGAGCCGGUAAACUCGUUGUGGGAUAUGUCGAAAACUUGCAAAUUGGGAAAUGAAAUUGAAGUAGUCUUUGGAUCGAGCAAUAUUGUACCAUUAAAUCUAUUAAAUCUCAGCACCAGGACUCGGAGUACAGGGAGAGUAUCUAUCCAAAACGGGAACGUGUCUUGUAUCUCAUUGUUUCCCACAUCAAGAACUUGUAGUUGUACGCAGUUAACCAGAGAUCUUGGUAAUGCUCCCUCAAAUUUAUUGCCAUGGAAGCUAAGUGACUGAAGAGCACAACCCUCAGUAAAUAUUUCUGGAACGAGGCCACGAAAGUGGUUUUCCUUCAGAUGCAAGGCUGCUAAAGAUAUGCUCAAAUUUCGUAAGCAAUGCGGGAUCGAUCCUUCCAAAUUGUUUUGUGAUAGAUGGAGAAAUUGAAGGUAUGUUAACUUGCAAAUAGAUGAUGGAAUAUCCCCUCUUAAUUUAUUGGAAUGCAGAUCUAGGAAUACGAGUCCUGACAGAUUCCCAAUUGUGCAAGGUAUUGGACCUAAUGAAAGUUUGUGAACGCAAUUCAAAUAUAAAACAAAAUGUGAAAAUUCACAUUUAUAAGGACUCAAAAAAUAUAAAAAUUUAAAAUCCUCAAAAAUGUUAUGGGUAAAUCAUAAAAAUAUUAACAUGGAGAAAGAUUUCGAAAGAAGUAGAAUUAUAAGAGGUGAAAUUACAACAUGGAAUGGAAUAACUUUAUGAAUUAUUUAAAUCACUAAAAACCAUGAAAAAUAAUCUUAAUUAUAAGGGAGAAUCCUACAUAAAUAAACAAGAACCAUGUUUUUUCUUGUCUCGUCAAAUUUUUAUUGCGUAGAUAUACAUACAGUUAAACAUCUAUAAGUUAACACAGUUAGGACCAUCAAAAUCCUAUUAAUUUAACGGAAUAUUAACUUGUCGAUAAAUUAAUAAUUAUUAAUUUAUACAUUAAUUAAUAACUUAUUAAUUUACGAAAUUAUUUUUAUUAUUAUUUUCAACAAAUACAUUACUUUAAUUUUUACGUAUUUAUUAUUCAUUCUACCAUUAGUUCAAUGUACUAUAUAGCAUGUUUCUCGAACGGAAGCUCUUAAAGCAACAAUAAUAUUGAACAAUUUUUUUAUUGAGCUAUGAGAAAGUUAUACCAGAAGUUCUAACCAUGUUAAGAAAAGCGAGAGACGAGAUUGAUAGUGAUAUGAACUUUAACAAAAAAACAAGCUACAAUUAAUUCAUAUAUUAUUAGGCCUUCAUAGGUCUAUAUAUAAUAUGUAUUGUACUAUGUACUUUAAGAAUUAUUUUUUGCAUUAUGAAUUCAUAUAUUAUAUGGGGCUUCUUAAAAUUUUCGAAUGUGUAUUAUCUUAUAAGUUUAGCGAAUUAAUUUAGCAUGUUGUCCUUGAGUCAGGACCCCCGGAAAAAAUAUUAAUUAAGCGAAGGUAUUAAUUUAUCGGAUAUUAAUUUAUCGAGGUUCUAUUGUACUUUGAAAGAUAAUUCAUGGAUUAAUAAUAAAAUUUUGAAUUUAGUAAAGUGAGUUAUUUUGACCAUUUAAAACUAUUUUUUUAUUUAUACAAUUUAAAUAAUAAAUGGAAUAUAUAUAUAUAUAUAUAUAUAUAUAUAUAUAUAUAUAUAUAUAUAUAUAUAUAUGGUAAUUAUUGUUUGGGGACACUAACUUGGGUAGCAGAUUGUACAUUUUUUUUCCUGUCUUUCCUUCAUCGAUUUUCGGCAUUGACCGUCGGUCUCCGGCGUUAACUUUUUUAAAUUUUUUUUCUCUAAAUUUUUUGUUCUUUAUUUUUAUGCCCGCCGCUGAAUGUUGACCGUGAUUGUACUAUCAUUAACAGUAGUUAUACUAUCAACCACAAUAUUAUUAUUAUUUGUUUGGUUUGUUUUUUUUUUUUUUUUUUUUUUUUUUGAUUUGUUAACAAGUCGUCGUAAUUAUAUUACUGUCGUUGACGGUAAAAUUACUAUAAACACAAUAAUAUUACUAUCAACCACAUCAAUAUUUUUCUUUUUCCUUUUUGUUUUGUUUGAUUUGUUGACUGAUUAACGUAAUAAUAUUACUGUUUACUACUAUAAUAUUACUGUAAACACAAUAUUAUUAUUGUGGUUGACAGUAAUAAUACCAGCCCCACCGGGUACCCGCCCUGGAUUUAUUAGGUAAUCCCUGUUAGCUAAUGGGGUGGGUGUGAGUUUCAAAAAUUUCACCCGUAGCGGGUAUGAGGCGGGUACGGGUUUUGAACAUAUGCAUCUUUUCCCGCCCCAUAUCCAACCUGUUUAUAUAUUUUUACUAAUUUUAUAUUUUAUAUAUUUUAUAUUAUAAAAUACGAAUUUUUAAAGAAAUUUAAGUUAAAUUAAUUAUAAAUAUAAAAAUAAAAUUAUAUUUUUUUAUGGGUACAGGAUGGGGUGGGUUUUAACGAGUAGGGGGUGAGUUUAAUAAAAUCAAAUCAAACCCAGAACGGACACGGGGUGGAUAUAGGUGAAAUUUUUUGCUAGCAGGACAUGUACGAAUUUUAUGUGACCCGCCCCGUACCCGAUGCAUAGCCAUCCCUAAUCGUACAUAAGUCUUGUAAAUGCUACCACUUAGAGCAUUCUAUCUAUAUAGUAUAUAAGCAUUCUUUAUUUUGGUAACAAUUUACUAGUAAUAAAGAAGCAUGAAAAAAAUAAUAAUGUUGAAUUAUGAGAAGGUGGGAAUAAAAUAAUCUUACCACUUAAAGAGUUGUCAAAAAUGUAUAAUUCUUGAAGGGAUGCCAAGUUGCCAAUUUGAGUUGGCAAUGGUCCCCUAAGUCUGCUGGAUGAUAGUUCCAAAACUUGAAGUUGAGAAAAUUGAUUAAACACGUCCGCAGGCAGAUGUCCUGAUAAGACGAUAUACGGAGGAAAAUAUGUUAAUAACAAUUUUUUGAGCUAAAUCUAAUUCCCUGUAAAAGUAAAUAAAAUUAAAUUGAAAAAUCAUUAAAUAUUACAUGAUCUUAUAAAUUCAAACCAGAGUUCAAAUUUCGUUGUAACAAGUAAUAAUUAGUUUAUGAAAAUGGUACCGACUCAAAAUAUUUAUAUAUGGGAAUCAGUGGCAGAGCCAACAUUUGGUCAAAAGCCAAAGGAACCAUGAUCUCCCAACACUUUUCAAAUCCUUAUUAUUAUUAUAUAUAUAAAUAUUAAUAGAUAUUCAUGUAUAAUAGCAUUAACCUCGCCCCUCAAUUUCGUUUUAGUGUAUAUUGGCCGGCCCAUCAGACAUAAAAUCAUGACACCGCUAGUGAUGAAACUAUAUUAUAUAAUCAUUUGUAUAUUGCUAUACGUAGCUAAAAGGAUAUGCACAAGACAAAUAUAAGAAUCGCAGAUGUGAAAAAUUAAAAAAGAAAAGAUAAAAAAAUCUAGAAAUAUAAAUUUUAAUUACCAGUGAAAUUAUUGGAACCAAGAAAUAGUAACUUCAGGCGUGUGAUGUUUCCAAAACCCCUUAGCACAUUCCCAGAAAAAUUGUUGUCAUAUAAGUAGAUUUCUUCAAGUUUUGAGCAUUGGUCCAAAAUCGACGGUAUUUCUCCAUACAACCGAUUAUAAGAUACACGAAAUACUCUGAGUCGUCCUCUGUAAAGUUUAUUGCACAUGUCCUUUGGUAGACUUCCAGACAAGCUAUUGUUCCUCAAGGCAAUAACUUGCAAUCUCGACAUGUUGAAUAUAGACAACGGAAUAGGGCCAUGAAACAAGUUUUCGCUCAUGUUUAGAGAUACAAGAAAUGAGAGAUUUCCGAUCUGGGGUGGGAUGGGGCCCACGAGACCCAUAUUUGAAAUAUCCAACUCUGUCACUCUAUUAUGACGAGAGCCACAAGUGACUCCAAUCCAACUGCAAACCGAGGUUUCGAUAGUCCAGUUAUUUGUUAGGAUAUUGUGAGGAUCUGAGGUAAUAUGAGAUUUGAAUGAAAGAAGCGAAGAUCGAUCGUUGUUGAUUGUAUUGCUACUUUCUGCAUCGAUCACCAUUAGAACGGCAACUAGCAAAAGCUCGCAAAUAAUUAAUAUCCCCAUAGGGCUGAAAUUAUAAACUAGUACUAUAUGUUUCUGAAGUAUGAAUAUAUGAAACAUAAUAUACUAUAAUUUAUAAUGUUUGAAUUGAAGAACAUUAAAAUAUCGCAAGUUAAGUCAAUGAUGGAAUUCAACAACAUUAGCUAAAGUAGCAUCUCUUUUGUGACUCCAAGGAGACUUGAUUAUCAGUCCUGAUGAGAUAUUUGAUGUUAGUUGUCACGGACCUAGACUUUUCAGCCCACCACAUGUGGUCAGUACAGCGCCCCUCGGUUGAGAGGUCAGCCGAUCCCUCAAGCAAUACUGAUUUAACCAUGCCUCGGGCUCAUUAGGAGGAUGGCUCCAGUCCUGAUCAAUUUGAGUAGGGAUGGCCUAUCCCUUCUUCAACGUCAAGUUUAAGACUAGCGACAAGCUCCCCGCACUUAAUCGGAUCGGUCUGUCUGAACUCUGAAGGGCCACGCUAUGACAGCCCACACAACGACCUGAAGCUCCUCCGCCAUAAUUAUAUAACCACAAUCCACCAACAAUACUCUCGUAAGAUACCCCAGAAAUCACGGGGCACACUUUCUAUUUCAAGUAGUUAUAUUUAAUAGAGGAAGUAUCAAAAUAAAAACCAUUUCGAUAACUUGGUUGGAGGAUAAAAAUUUUAAAUUUAGAGGAUCGAUUGGUAGUUGUUGGGGAAAAAUUAAUGCGCAAAUGCACGUACCAUGGGCAAGUAAUUGAUUCCUAAGAGUUGGAUGUCAGCUCACAUGGAAUUGUUAACUAUUUAAUUCUAAUUAUUAAAAUUCUUCACAAUUGCAAUGUUUUUUUUCCAAUGAAGGAACCUGCAGUCAACCAUAUAGGUGCACUGGAUAAACAUAUGCUCUCGUUAAUAGCUUGUAAAUCACACGAAAAACGUAAACCACAUUAGGCUAACCAUUUGUGACAAGCUCGACCUAGUGACCCUUAACAAGAGGGAUUCAAACUUGGGUCAAUCAACACGAGCUCACUUGCUCCAACCACUAGAUUUAUAUUAUCAAUCUAAUAUGAAUACGAGAAAAAUAUCAAUAGAGGGGAAACCUAAGAUUUUAAUUUCCCCUAUGCAAAAGUUGUUCACUCAGAACUCCUCAAUUAUGUAACUAAAUUCACGAUUAUUAGUCUGAAACUCUCAGUUAAUUAUAACUCGCUUUUGCGUGAAUUGUAAUCAAAUUUAGCAAAAACCAAGAUAAAUAUAUAUGUACAAGCUAGAUCACGAUAAAAGCAACAAGUAUUAUAGCAUAUUAGAAGACACUUUACAUUUAAACAAUAUUAUUAAUACGUAUUCGUUUAUUAUUUUCAUUACACCUUGAACAAUUGGCCCUGGAAAAUUAAUGUUAUAACUUAAUCACACGAGGCAUAAUAGGAAAACAAAAAGGAUAAUAAAUCUAAAACAUUCAUAUUUUUAUAGUUGAUUAAAAAAAAAACACAAUAAUAAUCAUAAUAGAUAUUAGAUAAUAGAUAAACUUUAUUUGAACAUCUAAUAGAUAUACAAAAUACUUCACCGAAAGAAAAUAAACUCCAACGUUCGAAAAAUUAUAACGUACAAAAAGGUUAAGAAACACGAAAAAACCAUACGCGCGAAUAUUAUUUGCUAGUCAAGUCAAUGGAAGUUGUUAAAAAAAAAUCAAUAGAAGAAUUUCACAAGUUCAAGUGUUCAACUAAAGAAACAUCUUUUAUGUCAGGUUACCCGAUAUUAUUACUCGAAUAAUGCACAAAGACUUGAUGUUCAUCCAACAACAACUUGGUGUAAAAACAUACACACAAGUCCAUGUAUUAAGUAUAAAAUAGACUCAAGAGAGUCGGAGUCAACCCACAAUAAGUACUAAAUUGUCCAGUUCUAAGUACCGAAUUCUCACAAAUAUGAUCAUACCCGAGCCUAAUUGGGUUUGUUGAUUAGCGUAAUUUACUAAAUUAAACUAAAUUAUCUAAAUUAAGAAAAUUAAAUCAUUAAGACUAUCAAUUAAAGACAAUCCUCAAAUUUUAUAUUCUUCUAUAUGUUUGUUGAUCACCCAAUUAACCCUUAAUUAUGCAAGCAAUGAUUCCCGGUUACUAUACCGAGACACUAUUUUAUAACUCGUUUCCGCAUCAAUUUGAAUCUAUUAUUAAAAAAAAAUCAUUGUAUUCCUAAGCAAUUUAAUUAGGUACAAAACAUUAAACACAAGUCUCAAUUAUGGCUACCUCAGGUGAUAUCUAUAUCACCUAUGAUACCAUAUGCCAACACACAUUUUCGGUGAAAUUGACUCGAAGGUUCGUCCACCACAAUUCUAAUUAUUAAACUGAUCUUCCGAUGCAAAUUCAAUAAUAAUAACAUAGAACAUAAUUUGUCCAGGUUCGUGCACUUGCUAACUAAAAUACGUAGAAGAAAUAGUUUGGAAUUAAAUACUUGCAUAAAUUGGAAAAAUAGAUUCAAAAAUUCCGUACGUGAUUUGAAUAAAAUUUAUAAUAAAAACCCUACUCAUAACUCCUAUGGGAAACAUAAUCAAAAUGCUCAAGUUCAUAAUCAAAAUACAAAAUAUGUUGGAAAUUUGACAAAUCUAUGUCUUGUUCGUACACAUCUUCUCUUUUUUCCUCCCAAAAACUGUGUUCGUGAAAAACCUAUUUUAGGUCGAAAUUGGUGCCGUUGGCUGCUCCAGAAGUUCAGACCGUGGUAUCCACAAUGAAUACCGCAGUCCCGAGGGGACAAAGCAUCAUUUUUUGCCUAAACUGAUCUCGAACCACGGUAGCCAUAUUCAAGGCCGGCCCUGGCCCUUUUAAUGCCUUGGGCGAAAAAGAUAAAUUGUGCCGACAGUUUUAUUUUUCUAUAAAUCUUUUUAUAAAAUAAUAAUAAAUUAUAAAGAAAGAAAUUGAAAUAUCAAUAAAACGCUAUUUAAAAAUAUUCAAGAGUAAAAAAGCCCACAUAUAAAAAAGAAAUUGUCAUAACAUUACAAUUUUAACACAACAGAAUGAAAUAAAAAAAUGUUUGAACUCCCAUCCCAGCAAAAAAAUGUUUUUUCUCCUAAUCUUCCAUCAUCAGCUUUCAGAGAAAUUAUCACCUUAUGUUAUAGCUAAACACCUGCAUAUCAAAAAAAUAAGUGAAAUAAUUCAUUGAAAAUAUUUUCGAGUUGCACUUUUAGAGGCAAAGUCAUUAAUGAUAUCGUCGUACUCAAUAUUUUCCAACAUAUCUUUUUCAAUAGUUAAAAGUGCUAACCCAUUCCACCUUUCUUGAGACAUUGUGGUCCGUAAAUAAUUUUUUAAUAAUUUUAAUUUUGAAAAGCUUCUCUUUGUUGAUGCCACAGUGACGUGUAUUGUGAACAAAAUUCUAUAAGCAAUCAUCGCAUUUGGAAACAUAUCAAUUGUUUUUACAAACUCUAAUAUUUGAAAAGAUGUCCAUGGCUUAUUUGCAUCACAUGCUUCAUUCGGUAACAUCACUUGCAACACCUCUAGUUCAGAGCAUAAAUAUUUUGCAUCAAUAUGGGAACUCUCACCAUGUCUUAAAGCAUUUUCAAGAUUCACAUAAGAACUCAUCAACUCAUUACCAUCCAAUGAAAUCAACUUUGCAACAUCAAAUAAGAAACCAAAUAUUGAUUUAGAACACUGCAAUUGUUCAAACCUGCUUCUCAAUUGACCAAUUGCAAUAUCCACUACUAGAAGAAAAUAAUCAAUUCUAAAAGAUUCUUCCGCAAAUUGAUUUUCCCUUUCGGUAUUAGAAAUCUCAUCAGAAUGUCUCUUUCUAGCAAUUCUACGUUUCUCGAAAAAUAUUGGUUCAAUUUCCAUUUGAGAUGCUAUUUUUUUAGCGUCAAUCAUAGCAGAAGAAAAUUCAUUUUCUCUAUACAUUUCAAAAAAAAAACAAGCCCAAUUAAUUGUUUUAUAGCAAUAUCAAGACGCAUAUCCUCGGAUUGUAACUUUUUGCUAACUAAAUUAAUUGUAUGCAAUAUAUCAUGCCAAAUAAUCAAGCUCAAAAUAAACUUAAAACUUGAAAGUUCACCAGAGGCCAAAGUGUAAGCAUCCCUACUUAAUUUGGCAUCUUCACUAAUUUUGCUAAUUUAAAUAAAGCUUCUCUUAUUUGGGAGACUUGGGACAAUAUUGCCUUACCAGAUUCAGUAUGACUUUCCCAUCUUGCCAUGCACAAUGAUUUCAAAGUUAAUUUAUCAAUAUAAUCAAGCAAAACAUUCCAUCUCUUUGUUGAACUAGAAAAGUGGACGUGCGUUGCACGUCUGGUGUUAUUUUUUCCUUUAUUUUUCGUGUUUGUAUCAUGUCUUGUUAUAAUUUCACCAAAGUAAUUUUGUAUAUGUAUCUAAGUAUAUUAGACUAAUAGUUUCCUUACAAUAAAGUCUAUUUUGGUUUCAUAUUGAAAUGUAUAAGAAAUAUAAUUUGAUAUUUUGUUACAUAUAUCUAUUCAUGACUCACUUCACAUAAUAUUUUCUCUUUUAAUCUAAUUAUUGGAUGCUUCUCAUUUUGAGGUUCUUCGUCAAUUCUUUAAGUGUUAUGCCAUCAUUAUGAAAAAAAUUUGAUGAUGUUUCAUGCGGUAAUAAAAUAGAAUUUAUAGGAUGUAGGUAAGUUUAAGGAACAAAAAAAUCCCUAUUGUCGAGAAAAAUAUAAUAAGAUAUAUACUUAAGCAAGUAUUAUGGAGAAAAGAGAAUAAAAUAUGGAAAGAGCAAGGUUGUAAAAGGCGGUUAGGCACCGUCGCGAUCGGUGCAACAAUGAUUGAUCGGCGAUAAAUCGAAAAUAAAUCUAUUUUUCAUAUUUAAUGUAAUAUAUUUCUAAAUACUAUUUUUAUAUACUCAAAAUGUAUAUAAAAAUAUUUAAACAUGAUUCUAUCCCCAUCAUUUAUAUAUUUUGAUCACGUAAAUUUUUUUAAUAAUAUUAACUAAGAUUGUAAUCCAAUAAAAGUCCUUACAAGAUACAAAUAAAACGCAAAUGUUUUGCAUUCAAAUUAUGCUUGAACAUUAGAAGCAUAUAUAAUUGGCUCAUUUAAAGGUAAUAAAUAAUAUAAACAAAACAAAACAUAAACUCAAUUUUCAUUAAACGCUCAAUUGCUUUUUUCUUUUGCUUUUUUUCGUGAUUCAUUUACAAAAAAAAAAUUGACCAGUUUUUACCGAUAAUUGUCACUAAAAUUUGACACGCCUCCAAAGUUUGACCGCCUCAACCUGACUUGCACCACCUCAAACCGCCUCACUUCCAAAAUCCGACUUUUCAAACCUUUACGGGAAAAUCGUGAAGGUAUUGGAUACCCUCCGCUUCGAAGACCGAUAAAUCGGCCGUCUCGACCGAUUUUUUGAACACAAGUAAAAAGUGAUAAUUCAGGAAACUCUAUGAAAUUGUCUUAUUCCAUUAUUUUGUUUUUAUAACAGGUACUGUAAAUCCUAGACUAAGGAAAUCAUCUAUGAGUUCACUGGCAUAAAUCUUGCCAUUUUCUCCCUAUCUAAUCUCUCAAAUAUUAUGGAACUCCAAUCUAAUUAGAAGAAAAUGGGCACAUUAUCACCUUGCUGAAGAUCUUGUAUACAUCUAGACCAUAAAUAAGUUUGUGUGGUAUAAAUUUUGCACCAAAAUAGGAAGACAUGUAAUGUAGUAGUGGGUCUUUGGAUAUUUUGGUACACAAGUUUGUAAAUUAUAAGAUUUAAAAUGUAACUCAAUGUAAAUUCCAAUAAGAAACGUACUAUUCAAAAAUAAGAACUGAAUAGACCUUUAGAUUAAUUUGUAAUUAAUGAGAUUUAUGUUUUCCAUAUAAUAAUUGAGUAAUGUUAAUUCAUUAAAUAUUUUGACUUUUUUCAUAAUUUUUUUUUUGGAAAAGUAGUCCAUAUUUUAGCAUUGUUUUAAUUUUGCAUACAAUAUGUGAUACUUUUAGUAUUUUACUUUCAAAAUUAGGAUUGAUAAUUGUAAUGCUAUCUCCCAACUGUUGUAUUCCAUAACGUAUCUUUAUUGUAAUUGAUUAAAUAUUUUGAACUUGUAAAACAAUAAAUAAAAAUAAAUCGAUCAAUAUAAUUGAGUAUAAGUAAUUCCUUAGACAAUAUUAGAGGGACUACUAAGCAUUUUCAUUGUGACACCCAUUUUCUAGUUAUACCUAAUUAGUAUUUUAGAAUAUGAUAGCGGAAGACUUUGAAAUAUAUUAAUCGGGAAUAGAAAAUUCCGACCAAAUUUUUCUUUUAGAAUCAGAGUAACAGUGUCCACAUAUUACCAAACAACAUUCACUUAAUCAAUUUCACAAACUAUGCAUGCAUGACUAGAGAUUAAGUCUCAUUUUAGCAAAGUGAGAAAAUUUUGGACAGUUUCGAUCUAUCAAUCAAAUAAAUUAAUAACUCUCUAACCGCUCAUGCAAAAUACUUGAAAUUUUUACCACAUUCUCUAAUAAGGGCCUAAAUAAUAUAGUACAAACAGUUUUUAAAUACCUUGAGCCAUUUGAAAGGAAUAAUUAAAAUGGUACAACUAUACAGUUUGAAAAUCUAAAGCAGGGGAGUGACCUUUGAAAAAUCUUUAAUAAUUCCCUACUGUUUAAAAAAUCAUAAAAUUCUAUACUAAAGUACAUUAGUAAGUUAGGAGUUUAUCCAAAGUGGAAUAAAUCCUUUUGAGUGAGAAAAACUUCGUAUUUUAUUGUAAAUACUACAAUGACUCUGUUUCAGAGCAGAGUUGGUAAACAAUUCGUAAUUAAUUCAUUGCUUAUCGAAAUAAUGCAAAAGACUUAUCAACGUGAACCUAACAGAUGGUCCUAUGAUACUGUAAAAUUUCAUGUAAUAAUGUAUACAAGAGAUAAUUAACACGAAUUAUUAAACUACUAGGCAGAACACAAUACAUAACUAGCCGAUGGGCAUUUUAUAAUGUUUUUAGGAAAAAUUGCCCUAAAGUUACAUAAGUUUUUGAGAAAUUAUCAUAACAUAUAUCAAAAUAGGUAAUCUUAAUCCUAUGUCACAUUACACAUUAUGCAUCAAUAGUAAGUUCCUCCAAUAGGCGGAAGGGAACGAUAAUAAACACCUAAAACGGUGUCGAAUGUCUUUAAGAGUAAAGUGUACAAAUAAAACCACAUUAGUAUAUUAAGAGCACCCAAAAUCCACCAUACCUCCUUAUGAACUCUUCUCCCGAUCCACGAACUCAACUUCAACCACGAACCUCGGGUUCGAAAUCGGGUAAUCCUACAAGCAAUUCAACACCUAUAUGAGUCUUUGAGACUCAAUGAGAAUUCCAUAGAAUAUCAAAUACACUUAGACAAGGAAUCAUAUAAUCAUACAUAUACAUACAUGUACAAGUAUACAUAUACCUUAAUCACCAUUUCUUUAAGGAAUUUUAUUGAUUUACCUUUACCUCUCGGUUUACCUCUUAGGACUUUUCGAUUUUGCCUCUUAGGACUUUUCGAUUUACCUCUUAGACCUUCCUUUCAUCAUUUCAUAAGGAAUAAGAGGAGAUCCCUCACAAGGGAGUCGUCGUUCUUUUCCACAUAUAUUCAUUCAAGUGCUCAUAUAAUGUGUGAGAAAAUCAUUUUCUUUAGUCGGAUAUCCUUUGAAAAAUCAAGUAAAACUUUAGACAAUAAGCCUUCAUUUAUUUGGAACCUGUUUCAUAAGUGGAAUCAAGCCACACAAUCUUCAUCUCAUUUUUUGGGUACCGGUCCCUCAUACCCCGUGCUUAUUCGAUCUAUGUUUUACAAGACUUUCCAAUUUUAAAAACGUGCAAGUGAGGUUAGUACAUACUUUCAUUCAAUUCAAGCAACUUGAUUAGUUGUGUGACAAAAACAUUUUUCGGAUAUCCUUUGAAAAAUCAAGUAAAACCAUAGACAAUAAGCCUUCAUUUAUUUGGAACCCGUUUCAUAAGUGGAAUCAAACCACACACUCUUCAUCUCAUUUUUGGGGUACCGGUCCCUCAUACCCCGUGCUUAUUCAAUCUAUGUUUUACAAGAUUUUUCAACUUUAAAAAUGUGCAAGUGAAGUUGGUAUAUAUUCUUCAUUUCACAUAUUCAAAGUUAGCUGUCACAUAAGCACACAUAUUUCCACAUAUUCACAAAGGCACAUAGUUUAGUCACACAAUCACAAAAGCAAGUAAGACACAUAACAACUCAAGCAAAGAACAUAAAUCACAUAUUUACACAUAUAGCAAAACAACUCAAAGCAUUCGGUUAUUUAUAAUUACUAUCUCCAAGUUUCAUUAAUUAAAGUUCAAGCCCUCUUUCUCAAGAGACUUGAAGUUUUCUUUCAAGUAGCACCAAAUUUCCAUUUAUUUCAUUUUCUUUCCAAAAUAUUCGAACCAUCAACAAUUCAAUCACACAAAAUUCCAUUUUUAUUAAUCUUGUUCUCGAUUUUUAUCUUCGUAUAUUAUCACUCAUAGAUCAUAAACCAUGGAUCGUAAGCUUCCUCGACCCGGAGGGAGUACACUUACAACCACGUAGGUCAAUAUAUAUACACAUAGAGACAUAUACUUAUAUAUAGCACAUAUAGAUUACAAAUAAACCAUGGAUCAAGUACUUUCUUCGACCAUCCAUGUUCACGAAAACCAUGGAUCGAAGUUUCCUUAAGAUCACGCAGGUCUAGUAUAUAUAUAUAUAUAUAUAUAUACAUACAUACAUAAAAAUUAAAUUACAAUAUUAUUCUUAGUUCUUCAAGAUUAUAUCAUUUAAAGCUUAGAUUCUUACAUGCAUGGAUGAUCUAACAAUAAACAAGUAAAGUACUAUAACUUCCCAAAUUUUCGGCCAUUAAGAAAAAAAAAAGAGAAAGAAGAAAUAAUAUUGGUGAAGAAUCACUUGUAGCAAGAAUAUGAAAUUCUCACCUAGAUUCUCUUGGGAAUAUGAAGGAAUUGGUGGAUUGAAUAACCCACUACAAGACACACUUCUAGUUGCAGAAACUUCUUUUUGGAAAUGAGGAGAGAUUUUGAGCUUCCUACACUAAUAAUUUCAAAAUGGAGAAGAAGGAAGAAGGAUAUUUUCUUAAGAAAUUUAAGAUAUGGUGGAGAAGAUGAAAAUUCACUUGGGUGUUGGGUUCUAUUUAUAGAGUUUUGCAAGCAUUUGGGGGUGUUCUUGGGAUUUCUUCUUUAGAUGGGUUGGAUUGAAGAUGGUUCUAUGGCUUGAGCUUGAGUAAAAAUGGAUUCUUGGUGAGGGGAUGGUGGUGAUGGCCGAAUUUAGGGAGAGGAAGAAGAUAGAGAGUGGGUUUCAAAUGCUUAGGUGGAGAGAGAGAGAGAGAGAGUAAAUGGGUCUUGAAUUAAAAUGUAAAGUGGAGUACCAUUCUCAAUGAAGAAAGUACAAGCCACUUAAGCUCUCAAUUCUCCCAACUGAUAAGCAUUUCUACAUUAAAGAAUUGUACACAUGAAAAAUAAAAUCCAUGUGUGUCUCCACAUGGCCGAAAAUUACAAGAAGAGUGGGGAAAAUUUUAUUUCUAAGUUUAUUCACUCAUUUAAUUAUCUAAUAUGCAUGAAUUUAUUAUUUUUCUAAAAAUUUAGUGUAUGCAUAAAUAUAUUCCAACUAUCCAAAUUAAAUUCUAGAAUGCAAUAAUCUAAUUAAAGUAUGAAAAUUUUCAAUUAGUUAUUUUUCGUGUGAAAUUUUUCAAAUAUUCGAUCCUAAUAAAUCAACUAAUCACAUAAUUUAAGUCACACAUAAAGUACAUCAAGAAUGCAUGUUUAAUUAUGCUAGCUCAUAAUAAAUUAUCCUAUUAGCACAUAAAAUUUCUAAACGUAAAAUCUACUUAUGAAAAAUAAUAAAAAUAUAAAACGAGUUAUCCGAAAGGGCAGGGUGUUACAUUCAUUAUAGCAAUGAUUCAACUAUAUAUUAGAAACAUAUUAAUAAAAGAUUACGAACUAAAUCAUAUAAAUAAUAAAAGCGCACAUCAGAAGUCAGAAAUGAAUAUGUUACCAAGCUGUCAUCGUUAAACUGCAAUUGUUUACUCAUUCACAUACAUAGAGUGAGGUGUGCUGUUACCGCAACCAAUUAGUUAUGUUAUAUCAAUUCUAUCUCACAUCCUUUGUUCUUCGUUUUACUAAGCUUCCCACGAAUACAAACAUUACUAACAUUAUAAACUGAUGAAUUACAAACGAAAGAGGAUGUUAAAAACAGAGUCCGACGAAGAAGACAAUAGAUGAGUUAAAAAUGUUUAAACGUCGCAAAUUAAUUUUCCAAUCACCUUGCGUCGUUUCUUAACUAUCGUCGCAAAUAUUAUAAAUUAAAAAAAAUAUAUAUAUUUUUUUUUCGCUUGCGACGAAAAUUUACAUUAAUGUCGCAUAUGUGCGACGUAUGUAAGAGAUUCGUCGCCUUUCUUCAGGGAACUUUUCGUUUUAAAGUUUGCGAUGAUUUUUGCGACGUAAUUUGGAAUCGUCGCAAUAUUUACUCGUUUCUUAAAAUUUGAAUUUAAAUUGUGCAUUAUUGCGACGAUAUGUGAAGAAAACGUCGCAAUACAAGCGACUAAAACAUUAUCGUCGCAAAAGAAACGUCGCCUGAAAUGAAAUUUGGCCUAGUGGUAGAGAAUUAUUUUUAGAGGUAAUAACUUCCACCUACCAUUUUAUUUUCUUUCUUUGUAGGGUUGCGCAAGUUUCUUCAAAUUAAAAUGCAUAUCAAUCGCUACAAUGUUUGAGUUUUCAUAUUAAGUAUCCAUUUAAAACCAUAAUAAAUACGUAUACGAAUUUUGAAGUUUGCAAUGAGAGUAUGUCCGUUAUUCUUCUAAAGACAAAUGAAUAUGGAAUUGCUAACUGUUAUUUUUCUAUACACAAAUGAAUAUGAAAUUAUUAACUAUUAUUUACAUAAUUACCCUUAAAAUCAUAUUUAAUAAAAGGUUAUUUUUGUCCUUACAAAAAAGGGAAGAAACCACUAUGAAAUUGGUACUUUUAUAGAUAGUAUAGAUAGAUAGAUAACUUUUUAAAAGCUUUUACAACUAUAAAUAUAUUAUUUUUAAUUUUUUGAAACCAUCUAUUCGCCGGUUAACCGUGGGACCUGACCAACUGUUUCUUUGAACAUGCGGUUUGCAACAGGCUCGGAACCGCCCUACAUAAGGGCCUCUUAUGGUUCUAGUAUUUGAAGAACCGAAACCGUGCCAUGCCUAAGUCCAAAUUUUUUGUCUUGUUUACGCCAAAAUCUAAAUGAAACUUAAAAUUGUAGAAAUACUUCAAUUUUAAAAUAUAUUGAAACUAAAGUUAAUCUGGUAUAAGAAAAUUCAAAGAAUAACCCAAAUUAUUGAUCAUGGAGUUAAACAAGAUUGGGGAGAUUGAUGAUAUUAUAUAAUUGUUGCAAUUGUUUCUUUUUUCUUUACAUUUUGGUAGUUAAGGUAUUGCAAGAAUAGAAAGAAAUCUAUGUUAAAGUGCUUAUAUAAUAAUAUCAAAUACUAAGAGUAAUUUCAAUUCAAAUAGAAUACAAUAUAUGGUUCUAAAUUUUAAUGUAUUUUAUGAAGUUCAAUAUUAUAGUUCCACCACAAUGAAAAGACAAGCUCAAAACUUGCAUCUCCAAUCAAGUUCUCCGUCGUGCAACAUUCCUUUUCUUGUUAGCAUGUAUCUUGUCUUGAGCAUUGAAAAACAGGCCAACAAACCAUUUUGGUCUUUGAUACCGGAAAAUAAAAUAACUGAUCGUAGUUCCAAAUACGAACCCACAUCCAUACCCCAAAACAACAGCUUGCCAAGUAAAACCAUCCAUAAAAUCGGAAUCAUUAUCACCUUGUGGCAACACCGGAAACAAAGUUUGUACAUUGUCCUGUUUGCAUUUUUUUGUCAAUGGAAAUCCGCAUAAUCCCGAGUUUCCCAUAUAUGAAUUGUUUUCAAAUGUAGGGAACUGCCCGGUACUAGGCUGAGGUAUCUUCCCAACAAGAUUAUUGAACGAAAGGUUCAAUAUAGAAAGAAAUGUCAACCUUGUCAACUGCAAUGGAAUUUCCCCCGCCAAUUGGUUGGAAGACAAAUCCAAUGACUCAAGCAUGCUUAUAUUUCCAAGAGAUGCAGGUAUAUUUCCUAUAAUGUUAUUACGAGAUAAAUUCAAGUAUCUUAGAGAAUUAAGCUUUCCUAUGGACCGUGGAAUAGUUCCGGAAAAUCUAUUACUAGACAAGUCAAUGGUCGUAAACGCAUUCGAAAUUCUCACCACAGAAAGAACCACUCCUUUCAGAACAAACACCAUUGACUCUUCAGUAUAAUACGGUGAAAACCAAUUUCUUUUUGUUGUUCUAUUCACUUUGACAUUUAUCAUCGAUACGAAAUUCUCCAAGUACCUCGCAGGCAAAGAGCCGGUAAACUCGUUGUGGGAUAUGUCGAAAACUUGCAAACUGGGAAAUGAAAUUGAAGUAGUCUUUGGAUCGAGAAAUAUUGUACCAUAAAAUCUAUUAAAUCUCAGGACCAGGACUCGGAGUACAGGGAGAGUUUCUAUCCAAAACGGGAACGUGUCUUGUAUCUCAUUAUUUCCUACAUCAAGAACUUGUAGUUGUACGCAGUUAACGAGAGAUGUUGGUAAUGGUCCCUCAAAUUUGUUGCCAUUGAUGCUGAGUGACUGAAGAACACAAACCUUAGUAAAUAUUUCUGGAAUGAGGCCACGUAAUUGAUUUCCCUUUAGAUGCAAGGCCGCUAAAGAUCUACUCAAGUUUCGUAAGCAAUGCGGGAUUGAUCCUUCCAAACUGUUGUGUGAUAGAUGGAGAAAUUGAAGGUAUGUUAACUUGCAAACCGAUGAUGGAAUAUCCCCUCUUAGUUUGUUGGAGUGAAGAUCUAGAAAUAUGAGUUGUGACAGAUUCCCAAUGGUGCAAGGUAUUGUACCUGAUGAAAGUUGUGAAGGCAAUUCAAUUAUAAAAUAUAAUACUUCUUUUAAUUAGAAAAAGAAUUCACAUUAAAAAGAAGUCAAUGUGAAAUUAAAGGACUAAUUUUUUUUACUGAAAUUCUUACCUUUUUUUUUCUGGUAAUGAAGGAACUCGUAGUUAAUCAUAUAACAUUAGAUAAACUUACACUCUCAUGUAAUAGCUUGUAAAUCAUACGAGAUGUAAACACAGUAGGCUAACCAUGUGCGACAAGCUCGACCUAGCAACCAUUGACAAGGAGAUUCGAACCUAGGUCAAUUGACACAGGCUCACUUGCUCCAACCACUAAGACAUCCCUUGCGUGACCGGUCCUUUUUUUUUUCUUCUUUUAAUUCUUGUUACACUUUAAAUCAUUAAUUUUGAAUUUCGUUUACUAUAGAGGAAUUUAAAUAAUAUUUCAUGUCAAUUUUCGUGUAGUUAAUUUGUUUAAAGACCCUACACCUUAUGAACUUCACGAGAUAAUCUAUUACCAUAAACAUACGCACACUCACACAUUGGUAAUAAUUUGCUUUCACAUGUUGAAAGAAUCAAAAAAGUGUUUUUUAGUAAGGUAACCCCAAUUUUCUUUCUAGUUAUCUCCAUCUAAAAACUUUAAAAAAUAGUAAAUAAAAAUUACAUAUCGAGUAAAAUUAAGCAUUAAAUAAACCGUUAUAUAACUCUAUGUUGCACGGACACUUUUAGAAGGCGAAGAGUCCCCGUAUUCGACAUCUGGACACUCGGACACACCCGAACACGGCUCGGACAUCUGUGUCGGGUCGUGUCGUAAUUUUGCCAAAAGUAGGACACCCGUAUCGGGUAAUGUCCGCAAUUUAAAAAAAGUUGGGACACGGCUCUUAUGUAUGAAGAGAAAACCCUACUAAAAAUACGCAUUUUCUUUUCUCUCUAUCACAUAUUUCCUCUGUCUUCUUUGAGAGUAUUGGCGGAACUUUAAAGGGGCUAGGGGGGCUGUUGACCCCCCAAGAUUAAAAAAAAAAAAAAAAAUUUUAGGUAUUUUGGAUUGCAUUUUUUGAAUAUUACUUUUGGCCCCCCAAAGUUUUUGUAAAUAUGUGUUUUUAAUCCUUAAUUUUUUUUUAUCUCUUCUCAAUAAUUUUAUAUAUAUAUAUAUAUAUAUAUAUAUAUAUAUAUAUAUAUAUAUAUAUAUAUAUAAUUUUUUUAAAUAAAAUGGUUAAAACUUCUAUUAUUUUAAAAUUUAUGAAUAUUUAUUUAUUUGUGAUUUUUUUAUCAACGACUCUACAAAAUAACAUGAGACGAUCCCAUGGAUUCCCAAAAUAUUAAGUACGAUACAUUAUUAGAAUAAUUUGGGUUAAUUUAGAUUUUUUGUCAUGCUUAAAAUAUGAUAAAAUUAUAAUAUAUAUGUCAUUUUAAUUAAAAAAUUUCAAUAUAAACUUAUGUUUGCAAUGUCUUGUGAACCUAAAUCUUUUUUCGGGGCGCUGCCCCGAACCCCGAAAUUUUAACUAGCCCCCCCUACGUUUUGAUCCUGGUUCCGCCCCUGUUUGAGAGUCCACCAAAAAGUUCAAAACUCUAGCGACAACGGCGACCAAGAACACGAGCAGCAAGCUGCGAGGGGUUCUCUUAUGCGAUUUGGCGACUUAUACAUAUAUUUUUAUAAUUUAUAAAUGUACCCCUAUAUUUUUUUAUAUUUAAGUGUAUUCCCCACGUGUUCGUAUCCUAGUGUUUUGAAAAUGCUGUAUCACUGUGCAUGUAUCCUAGUGUUUUGAAAAUACCGUAUCACUGUGUCCGUAUUCGCGCAUUGACGUUUACGCGUAUCCGUGUCCGUGCAGCAUACCAUAUAACUUAGCAAUGAAAAGCAUAAAAAAUAAUCGUACCACUUAAAGAGUUGUCGAAAAGAUGUAAUUCUUGAAGGGAUGUCAAAUUGCCAAUUUGAGUUGGUAAUGGUCCCCUAAGUCCGCUGGAUGAUAGUUCCAACAAUUGAAGUUGAGAAAAUUGAUUAAACAAGUCGGUAGGCAGAUGUCCUAUAUGUAGGAAAAUAUGUUAAUAAUCUUUUGAUUAAAUUGAAAAAUCAUUUAAUAUUAAAUGAGCUAAAAUUUGGACGGAGAGUUAAAAUUCGUUAUACAGAGUAGAAUCUCGAUAAAUUAAUAACAUCGUUUAAAUAAUAUUUUCUCCAAGUUCCGACUCGCAGACAUUAUGCUAAAUUUAUUAAUUAAGUUGUUUAAUAGAAUUCUACUACUCACGACUGUAUUAAUUUACAAAGGUUUAAUUGUAUAUGAGACAAUUAUAUAGGUGGUGUUUGCAAAAGUUUUUAAAAAAACAAAAAUUGGUGAUUAUGAGUUAAGUUAACAAUAAAUGUUUAUUUAAAAGUUGGCGGUGUUUGCAAAUUCUAUGAAAAAUCAAUUUCCAGCAACUUAUUUAUGGAGAAGUUGGUCCAUAGGUGUUUUUUUUUUAAUUUUAGCUUAAAGCAACUUAUUUUUAGAGAAGUAGAAGAAAAAAUUAGAAUUGCAAAUACUUAAAAAGUGAUUUUGAACCAAAAAAAGGCUCAUAAUCACUUUUCAAAAGCUUUUGCAAACACCUUCAUAAUCACUUGUUAUUGCUUUUUAGCUAAAAGACUAUGCACAAGAUAAAUAUAAGAAUUGCAUAUGAAAAAACUUAAAAGAAAACAUAAGGAUUCAAGAAAUAUAUACUGUAAUUACCAGUAAAAUUGUUGGAACCAAGAAAUAACAUCUUAAGGCGCGUGAUGUUUCCAAAACCCCUGAGCACGUUACCGGAAAAAUCAUUACCAUAUAAGUAGAUUUCUUCAAGUUGUGAGCAUUGGUCCAAACUCGAUGGUAUUUCUCCAUACAAUCGGUUAUACGAUACACGAAAUACUCUGAGCCGUCGUCCGUAAAGAUUAUUGCACAUGUCCUUUGGUAGACUUCCAUACAAGCUAUUGUUCCUCAAGGCAAUAACUUGCAAUCUCGACAUGUUGAAAAUCGACAACGGAAUAGGGCCGUGGAACAAGUUUUCACUCAUGUUUAGAGAUACAAGGAACGAAAGAUUCCCGAUCUCGGGUGGGAUGGGGCCCACGAGACCCAUGUUAGAAAUAUCCAACUCUGUCACUCUAUUAUGACGAGAGCCACAAGUGACUCCAAUCCAACUGCAAACUGAGGUUUGGAUGGUCCAGUUAUUUGUUAGGAUAUUGUGAGGAUCAGACGUAAUAUGGGAUUUGAAUGAAAGAAGCGAUGAUUGAUCGAUGUUGAUUGUAUCGCUACUUUCUGCAUCGAUCACGAUUAGAACGAAAAUUAGCAAAAGUUCGCAAUUAAUUAACAUCCCCAUAGGGCUGAAAUUAUAUUUUUGAACUAUGAGUAUAUACAAUACACACAUAAUAUGUUAUAAUUUAUAAUGUUUAAAUGGAAGAACAUUAAAUUACCACAAGUUAAGUCAAUGGCGAAAUUCAGCAAUAUUGACUAAAGUAGCAUCUCUUUUGUGACUCCAAUAAUGCAGGUAGACUUAAUUAGCAGCCCUAAUUAGAUAUUUGAUGUCAACGCUUCCUAUUUUACGGAGUUACAUUUAAUAGAUGAAAUAUCAAAAUAAAACCCCUUUUAAUAACUCGAUUAGAGAAUAAUUUUUUUAAUUUCAAAGGAUCGAAUGGUAGUUGUUGGGUAAAAAUUAAUACGCAAAUGCACUUAUCGUAAAUAAGUAAUGGACUCCUAAGAGUCGAAUGGCAGCUGACUUGGAAUAGUUAGUUGUUUAAUUCUAAGUAAUUUUUUUUUUUUUUACAAUCGCAAUCCAAAGGUGACUAGUUUAUAUUAUCAAUCUAAAAUGAAGGAAAUUAAAUACGAAAAAAAUAUCAAUAAAGGGGAACCUAAGAUUUAAAUUUUCCUAUACAAGAGUUGUUCACCAAAAUUACUCAAUUAUGCAAUUAAAAUCUCGAUUAUUAGCCUGAAAAUCUCAAUUAGUCAUACGGGUGGUAGAUAAAUCUAUUUUUUUACCACAAAAAUUAGGAUUUGAUGAAAAAAUAGUGUUAAGCGUGGAAGAUGCUCUAAAACGUUCUGACUUUAUGGUUUGUAUAGACAAAGAUAGAUAUAGAAUAAUAUAGACACAAAUAGUAUUUGCUAGUCAAGUCAAUGAAAGUUGUUAAAAAAAGAAAAGAAAGAAUAAAAAAAAAGUCGGAUGGAAGAAUUCCACAAGUUCAAGUGUUCAACCAAGGAAGCAUUUUUGUGUCAUGUUGCAUAUAAGACUCGGACUCGAAUAAUGCACAAAGACUUGAUAUUCAUCCCUAAUACUCUUUCCACCACUUAAGAAAAUAUAUUUUUUUGUUGAAUAAUAGAAGAACCGGCAAUCAACUUAUUAGGUAAGAACGCACACGUGAAUCAAGGUACUAACUGUUGUAUACACUCAAGAAAGUCGGAGUCGGACCCACAACAAGUACUUAAAUUGUCCAAUUUUAAGCAUUAAAUUCUCGCAAAUAUGAUCCUAGCCGAAUCAAAUUGGGUUUGUUGAUUAACGCUAAGCUUAUACAUAAAAGUAAGAAACGGUAUGGCAACUUAAGAAACAAUAUUGAUAUAUUUUUAUUUUUUUAAUAUUAAUUAUUAGUAUUUUUUUAUCUUUAUUAUUAUUAUUAUUAUUAUUAUUAUUAUUAUUAUUAUUAUUAUUAUUAUUAUUAUUAUUAUUAUUAUUAUACCUCUAUUUUCCAGCCUAUUUUCUCGGAAACAAUAAUUUGCUUCAUUUAUUUAAUGAUCAAUUUCAAAUGGGGUGAUUACAAAUAAAUCCAUCAAUGGGUACUUAUUCAUAAAGAGAUCCAGACAAAAAAUUUCUUUACCAAUAAGUUCACACAUAGUCCAGAUUUUUGUAAAUGACUAAAAUAACCCCUCAUAUUUAAAUAUGCUCAAAUUUCAUCCUUAACUUUAUUUAACCUCAAUUUGACCCCAAAUUUUACAAAUUAUUCAAUUUUGACCCAAACCUUUUUUGUCAAAUUUUUUUUUUUUCAAAAACUUUUUUUUCCCUCCGGAUUCCGGCGUUGACCGGCGGCGGUCAACGCCGGUCUCCGGCGUUGACUUUUCAAUUUUUUUUCUUCCGGCUUUUUUCGCCGGUUUCCGGCGUUGACUUUUUCGAUUUUUUUUCUUUUCUUUCUUUCUGUAACUUUUUUUUUCGUUUAAACAACAAUAUUGUUGUGAUUGACAGUAAUAUUAACUAUAUUAUUGUUAAACACAGUAAAAUUAACUAAAUUACAGUUUAACACAGCAAUAUUGCUAUAUUAAUCUCUAACACAGUAAUAUUAACACAACAAAACUCAUUAUUAUUGUGUAAUAGAGUAAUAUUACUAUGUUGAUCGUUCAACAAAUGUAAACAUAAUAAAAAGCCAAAAAAAUUAAUAUUACUGUGAGUGACAGUAAUAUUACUAUAACAACAGUAAUAUUACCGUCAACCACAGUAAUAUUACAAUAAUAGACAUUAAUAUUAUUACGUUACUCCGUGAAUAACUCAAACAAAACAAAAAAUCCAAACAAAAUAAUAAUAUUCAUGUGCUUGACAACAAUAUUACUAUAACAACAGUAAUAUUACCGUCAACCACGGUAAUAUUAUUGUGUUUACAGUAAUAUUACAAUAAUAGACAGUAAUAUUAUUACGUUACUCCGUGAAUAACUCAAACAAAACAAAAAAUAAUAAUAUUGAUGUUGUUGACAGUAAUAUUAUUGUGUUUACAGUUAUUUUACUGUCAACGACAGUAAUAUAAUUACGUUGACUUGUCAACAAAUCAAACAAAAUAAAAAAAAUAACAAAAAAUAAAAAAAUAAUAAUAUUAUGUUAAUUUACUGUCAACGGCAGAACAAUUACAUAUUCAUGUGCUUGACAACAAUAUUACUAUAACAACAGUAAUAUUACCGUCAACCACGGUAAUAUUAUUGUGUUUACAGUAAUAUUACAAUAAUAGACAGUAAUAUUAUUACGUUACUCCGUGAAUAACUCAAACAAAACAAAAAAUAAUAAUAUUGAUGUUGUUGACAGUAAUAUUAUUGUGUUUACAGUUAUUUUACUGUCAACGACAGUAAUAUAAUUACGUUGACUUGUCAACAAAUCAAACAAAAUAAAAAAAAUAACAAAAAAUAAAAAAAUAAUAAUAUUAUGUUAAUUUACUGUCAACGGCAGAACAAUUACAUAAAUGUAUUGUCAACGGCAGUACAAUUACGUUAAUUGACUGUCAUUGACAGUAUAAUUACGUUAAUUUACUGUCAGUGACAGCACAAUUACAGUCAACGUUUAGCGGCGGACGUAAAAAAAAAAAAAAAAAAAAAAAAUUAAAAAAACACUAAAAAAAGUCAACACCGGAGACCGGCGAAAAAUUCCGGAAGAAAAGAAAAGAAAAAUAAAAUAAAAUAAAGUCAACGCCAGAAACCGGCGAAAAAAUCCGAAAGAAAGAAAAAAAAUUGAAAAGUCAACGCCGGAAUCCGACAGCAACAUUCUUUUUUUUUUGAAAAAAAAAGGUUUUGGGUCAAAAUUGAAUAAUUUGUGAAAUUUGUGGUCAAAUUGAGAAUAAAUUAAGUUAAGGAUGAAAUUGGAGCAUAUUAAAGUAUGCUAAAAAAAAGUCAAAAUUGGAUUUGUGUGGACAAAAUCAAUUAAAUUGGGGUUACAAUUAAAAAUUGGGUAUAAAUGAUUGGGGGUAAUAUUGGCCUAUACAUGAAUGUUUCCUUUAUUUAUAAUAAAUAUUAAAUGGAUGGACUUAUUGAUGAAAGAGAUAUAGCCCCUAAACCUAUAAUAAUAAAGAUGCUUGAUUGGGGACUUGUGCACAAAAACCCCUAUCUUUUAUUGCAUGAAAUUUAUUUUACUAUUAAUAAUUAAAACCGUUAAUUUUCGAGGAAACUCAAUAUUUAUUUAUUUUAUUAACAAAGGGGAUUUCGAGGCAUGUUUCUAUAUCUUAUGAAAAUUUUAUACAAUUUUAAUUUGUUAUUUGUGAGAUCAAAUUCCCAAACGGCACAAAUACAAAUAUUCAUUUUUUCUCUCUUUCGAUAACAAUAAUCUAAUUCCUAAAAAUCUCCUUUCAAAUUCCUAAAAAUUUGCUAUCAAAUCAAAACAAAUAUUUUUUUUAUUUUCUAUUAUUUUCGGAUUUUUUAGCCAUUUUUCAUUUAUUUUUAUAUAAUAUUUUUUUGAAUAAAAAUAUUUUUUUUUAUUUUGUUUUAAAAGUUUUUUAAAUAAAAAAUUGAAUUUUUUUUCUUGACGGAUUUACAACUCCGAAUAUGACUGUAGUUGAAUAUGAUGUGACUAUGUAGACAUACUCUUUCUUUAUAUUGCAUUUUUUUUUUACAUUUUCAACUUAAAAAUUCCAAUUAUAUAAUGUGAAAUAGUUAUGUAUACCAAAUUAUAUAAAACAACGAAGAUUCCCUAUUGUUUAAAAAAACAAUCCAAUUAAAAUUCACACAAAAAAUAAAAAUUUUGAAUCUAGUUAUUCGAAUACGACUAUAGUCAUAUUCAACAAUAGUCAUAUUCGAAUAUGACUACAAUCAUAUUCGAAAAAUACAUAAAUAUGAAUAUAGUCAUAUUCGAACAUGACUAUAGUCCUGUUAUGAAAAAAAAAAAUCGAAAAAAUACAUAAAUAAAGAUAGAAAAAUAACGAAAGAGAGUCAUGGGGAGUCGACGACAACGGCGAUGGUGGCGGUGGUGAAGGAAAGAGAGUGAGAGAGGCGGCGACGGUGGUGGUGGUGGUGGUGGACAAAUCUGUAAAAAUAAAUAAAAAAAUGAGAAAGAUAACGAAAAAGAGAGAAAUAGUCUUACGUGGAAACGAAAGAGGAGGCGGCGGCAACGAGCGGCGACGGUAUUGGUUGUGUACAAAUCUAUGUGGAGAUGAUGGUGGUGUAAAGAGAGAGAUCGAGAGAAACAACAAACACGAGAAAAAAAAAAUCACUAAUCGAGUGAAUCAACAAUAGUCAAAUUCGAACCAGAGUAGUCACGUUGAUGCUGAUGUUUCAGAUUUGGAGAGAAAAAAAAAAAGAAAAAAAAUCGAAAAUAACGAAAGGGAGGGAGGGGGAGGUGACGACAACGACGGUGAAUGACAGAGANNNNNNNNNNNNNNNNNNNNNNNNNNNNNNNNNNNNNNNNNNNNNNNNNNNNNNNNNNNNNNNNNNNNNNNNNNNNNNNNNNNNNNNNNNNNNNNNNNNNUCCGCCACCACUUGUAUGGAGGAGGGCCUCCUGCAUUAGUCUUCGGCCGACUGGAAGUUUAAAGGUAUUUUUGACUUCGAUGGUGACGAAUGCACGAACAACGAUGGCUAUGGUGAGUGGACUACGACGGUGGUGUGAAAAGGAUGAAGGAGGGCGCCGCCGGUGUUAUACAGAUCUGGAGAAAGACGGAAAAAGAAAAAAAAAAAAAAAAGAAGAUGAGAGAUCGAGAACGAGAGAGAGGGGGGAGUGAAAGAGUGAAAUAAAUUAUAUCACGUUAAAAACCUAAUCACAUAAGGGCACUUUAGCCUUAUCAUGUUUGGUUAGGGGGGUCUCACUAAUUAAGAAUGAAACUUGGGUGUAGGCAAAAGUCUCUAAUAGUCAAUUGGAUUUAGUUCAAAAUAUUUUCCAUUUGAGGGGUAUUGCAUAUUUCCCCUUAGAAUAUUCACAAAAAAACUCCACAAUUUUCCACUAAAAUCUUUACCACAAAAUUCCACCAUCUGCACCUUAAGUGAACGAUACAUUCAAAACAUCAAAAGGAGCAGGAAUCCACGUUCUCGAAGAAAUAAAUUAAGAACGCUUGUGUAGAAAUAAAUUAAAAAUAAAAAAUAUUUUUUUUUUGAUUUUGUUGUUUUUGGUGAAUUAAAAUUUAAAAAAUAGGUUACAUUUCAUUCAACACAAUCUGUCCAGAACCUGAUUCAGAUUUGAUAAUUAUAAGAAUCUUGUUUUAGCUGUUUAAGUUUAAUUUUGGGAAUGAUCAACCGUCGGCUAACUAUAUAAAAUUUAAAGUUCACAAUUUUGUUGUGCAAAAUUAGAUGAAAUAUUAUGUUGCAUUAGCUAGCACAAGUUACAUAAUCUGUAGGUCAUCUGAUAUGGAAGUUUAAAUAUCUUGUAAUAAAUAUUUCAUUAGAAGAAAAGAAAAGAAAAAAAAAACCAUCUUAAAACAGAAGAGGGUUAAGCACAUAUGAUAUAAGGGAGAAUGGUGGAUUAAAAGUUGAAGGAUAUUUAUGAUAUUUUAUAUUGAUUUGAUAGUCAAUAGAGAUAAUUUGCAGGUGAAAAUAACACUACUCUAAUUUUAUCUUGAAAAGAGAAAUAAGAAAAGCAAAAAAACAGAAUUAAUGAAUGGUAGCGGUGGGAGAUGGUAAUUAAGUGAAAUAUACCACAAUUGGUGAAAUUUAUCACUUAUUUUUCUUAUGAUAAAAAUACAUAAUUUUCUUUUACUUCUUUCGUUCUUGUUUCUAAGAUUUUGCAAUAACUUGCGGAAGAUCGUUUAGAGUUUAUUUAGAUAUGACUUCAAUGGUUGAUUAUUAGAUAAACAUGAGUUCAUCGUGUACAUUCUUCAUUUUUUCUACUGCAAAUUUGUCAAGUCUGUAAUUUAUGUAUUGCUUGAUAUAAGUCGGAUAUAAAUCCGAAGGCUAAAAAAUAAAUGAGUCGAGCUUGAGUCAAUAACAAUAAAACCCAGUGAUAUUUGUGAGCUUGAGUUAUUGCAAUAAAAUCGAUGGUUUUUGAGCUUGAGUCAAUAGAACCCACAACUCAAGCUCGACUGACAUGACUUGAUUGCCAACUCAGAUAUUAAUACCCCAUGCACAUGCAUAUAAAAUAGACAUAAAACAUAACCACAAAAUACGCACAUAUGGAUUGACCUCAUACCCACAACUAGGACUGUAAGUCGAAUGGACAUAUUGAACAAGUUUUCGUGCCAGGCUAGUUCGCCGAACCCCCUCCGACCUCUUUUUUNNNNNNNNNNNNNNNNNNNNNNNNNNNNNNNNNNNNNNNNNNNNNNNNNNNNNNNNNNNNNNNNNNNNNNNNNNNNNNNNNNNNNNNNNNNNNNNNNNNNCUGGUUUCUUGUUUUAUGGUACAUUGAAUUUGAAUUUUAAUAUAUUGACACUUGUUAAUGCUAUCCAUGGUAGUUAAUCUCGCGAUAUACCGCGAUAUAUAUCGCGAUACGGUAUGGUUCCAAUCAAAACGAUACAACUCGGGUUAUGUAUCGUCGAUUGAUAAAUACCGUUAAAUAUCGCGAGAUAUCGUAUCGUAUCGCUGUAUCACGAUACGAUACGAUAUUGACGAUAUUAGUCGACCUUUAAAAAAAUGAAAAAAAACGAAGAAAAAAAGAAGAAGAAAUGCAGUCAACUACUCUGAAAAACGUUUUAGAACAGAUUUCUUCAAUAUCCCAACCCUAAUUCACAUUUUUCUCUUCAAUUUCUUCACCAACCCUCACAAUAUUACAACCAUAAUUCCAUUUCUAUAUAUUCUUGCGAUUCAAGACCAAUUCGAGGCGUUUUUUUGCUGGAUUUUGCGAUUGAUGAUGAUGAAUGCAAUCGUUUAAAAUUGGUAGAUGAUGACGAAUUAAGUGACAUUGAUCUUCAAAAUUAUGAGAUAUCGAAUAUUUUAGAAAUUAGGUAUUCGGAUUUGAACUAAGAGACAAUUUGGUUAAGCUUAUUUUACACAGUUGAUAAACUCUUACAUCUGAUAAGUUGUUUUAAGAGCUGAUAAGUUGUUACGUCUUACUUUUAAAAUUAUUUUUUUCAAUUGUUUGGAUAGUGAUCUUACAAGCUAUUUUACUCAUUAUGUGACCUUAAAUAAAUAGGUGGGUAAAAGUAUUUUUUUAAAAAAAAUCUUAUUUGCUCUCCAGUAGCCUAUAAUACUUUGACUUUUUAAGAUCUUUUAAAAAAAUUACCUAAUACACUAGAAUAACUCUUAAACAUCUUAUAAGCUCGAUUUAACGUCUUAUAUUCCUAGCCAAACACCCUCUUAGAUGAUGUUAUUUGAUGAACAUAUAUGAUUUUUGUCAUAUUUUAUAAUAUGAUGUUGAAACUUGAAUUUAUACCUAUUUUGAAAUAAGUAGUUAUAUUAAAUUUUACAGAUUUAUAUAAUAUUUUUAUAAUUUAGAUAUAUAUUUUUUACUAAUUUAAUAGUUGGUUAAAUAUCUUACGAUACGGUACGAUAACGAUACGAUACGAGACAUGGAGAAAAACGAUACGAGAUAUUUUUACGAUCCGAUAACCAUGAUGCUAAUAAUAAAAAAACUUAUAAAAUAUGGAACUGUUUUUCUAUAAAUUUGACGUUUUCUUUUUUAAAUUAAUUUUCACAAAAUUUUAUUUGGACAUUCUUUUGUAUACAAUCGGAUUAAAAAAAAUCCACCAAAUCCUAGGAAAAAAAAAAAAAAUAUAUAUAUAUAAUAAUAAUAAUAAUAAUAAUAAUAAAAUAAGCACAGAAGUAAUUCUAAUAUUCUAAAGGAGGUCCAAGAAUAAAAUUCCCCAACUCUUCAUUCAUCGUAGCGUACAAUAGCAGCAGCAUUUGGUUUCUCCACUGCAGCCUCCGAACCAAGAUCUGCCCUUCUCUCUCAUUUUCAGAUCAAUCGUCUUUCCUUUCAUCCGGUAACAUCUCUCUCUCUCUCUCUCUCUCUCUCUCUCUCUCUCUCUCUCUCUCUACAUUGUGUAUGCUCUGUGGUUUUUUGUUAAUAAGAUUGCAGAUCUGGACAUCUGAAAAUCAAAUUCAUUUCCUCAAUGUUGUUUCUGUACACCAUGGAUGUAAAAAUUGAUUGAUCUGAUUUUGUUAGGCGCGUGAAUUGAAUCAGCCUUGUGUUUAUUUUCACUGUAAUUGAUCAUAUGACUGGCUGGCUUUUAGCUUUUUGAAUUUAAUUUUCAAUAUUUGAAUUGCGAUUUUUUUUUUAUCCCGAAUUUCCUGUGCGUUGAAUGGGUGGUUUUCGUUAGAUCACAUUCGAGCCCGUUAGUGAAAAUUUCGCAACCUGUUCGAAGAAACGUCUUUUUGAUUCAGUAUUGAUUGAAUUUGAAUGUAGACUAAGGCCUCGUUUGGUUGGGGAGAUUAGCCAUUAUUAACUAAAUAAUUGGACUUUGUUUGAUGUUUCGUAUCCCCAAUAAUUUGACGGGUCGACCUGUAAAUAUUAUGCUAUCAUGCAUUAUCUUGCCUUCUAUGCUUUCUAUUGGAUUUUCCAAGGUCCAAUAUAUGAUGGGAUUUGAUUAGAUUAUUUAAUCUUAUCUUGACAACCAAACGAGGCCUAAGAGUCUAAAAAAGGUCCGAUUUGAUUAAAUUCUGGUGGGAGGUCACUUUGGUCUCCUUCGUUCAUCGAUCAAAUUUAGUUUUACGAUAUCAAAGUGGUUUACUUUCAGUAAUUCCUUCUUGAAUCAUAUUGCUCGAUACUUCCGAAAUAGGUUCCCCCCCAUACACUAAUCGAAGUGGGACGUAAAUUCUUCGCAGUUGCAUCAUGGGAUUGGCCAAUAAUCUUUAUAUAUAAAAGUAUUACAUCAAGUAUCGAUUAAGUGUUUGAUACUCCAUUUUGAUAUCUCCCUAUUGGAGUUGCUCUUACUAUAUAAAAUUAUAAAUCCGUAGGCGUUUUUACUUUCCCAAGUAUUGCUAUUACAUACCGACUGUUGUCAUUCACAGCUUUUUAAUAUAAUUUUUUUAUAUUUUGGGUGCAACAGGUGACUAAAAAUGGGGUUAUCUUUCAGCAAGUUGUUCAGCAGAUUGUUUGCAAAGAAAGAAAUGAGAAUUCUUAUGGUAGGUCUCGAUGCGGCUGGUAAGACCACUAUAUUAUACAAACUCAAGCUUGGUGAAAUCGUGACCACCAUUCCUACAAUUGGUACGUUUGUUUCGUUUGUGGCCCAAUAACAUUCUUCUGUUUAUUGAUAUUUUUCAGUUUAAAUUGUUUGGUUAGUUGUAUGAUAUUGUGGCCCACUUCAAUUGAUAAUUUUCCCCCUAUAUUAUACCUAUAUAUCUAUUUAGCCCACCGAACUUUUAUUAAUUACCCUUCUAAAUCCAAAUUAAUGGUAAAAAAUCGGUAUUUUUUCACUUUUGUCACUUUAUUAAUUCUUGGUUCAUCGGUAUUUUGUCACUUUUGAUGUUUUGAAACAUAUGUCAUAAAUUUUUAUUAAUUCUUGGUGUAUCGGUAUUUUGUCACUUUUGAUGUUUUGAAACAUAUGUCAGAAAUUUUAGUCUAAAAAAAUCGUGAUUUUCCCUCUCAUCAAUUCAUAUGCAUACAUAGGAUAUCCAACUGGCUUAUCUUGGAACUUCUCGUAAUUUCGUGCAGGAUUCAAUGUGGAGACAGUGGAAUACAAGAACAUUAGCUUCACUGUCUGGGAUGUUGGGGGUCAAGACAAGGUAUAAUUAUCAGAUUACACGUUCUAUAUUACAUUUUCUGUUGGUCUGAAAUCCUUGUUGUGCAGAUGGUUGACCUUUACUGAAUUGAACUGAUUUAAAUGGUGAAAUUAAUUAGUCAAAUUUCUUGUUAUAUAUGUAUUUGUACUUCGAGUUUACCUUGUUUUGUUCUUUAUUUAAAAGUUUAUGAUGGAUUAAUUUAUGUACUUGUGCUGUAUUAUUACUUUUAUUUUUAGCUUCAAUGCUUCUUCAUCUUUUGAGUAAUUAAAAUCUGCUUCUGACUGUUGUGUAUUCCGAUACAUUUUCUAUAUAUAGAUCCGACCAUUGUGGAGGCAUUACUUUCAGAACACUCAAGGGCUUAUUUUUGUGGUAGAUAGUAAUGAUCGAGAUCGUGUUGUUGAAGCUAGGGAUGAACUUCAUAGGAUGUUGAAUGAGG
rnacentral:lncRNA from 1 species